rnacentral:rRNA from 1 species
GAUGAACGCUGGCGGCGUGCCUAAUACAUGCAAGUCGAGCGAACGGACGCGAAGCUUGCUUCUCUGAUGUUAGCGGCGGACGGGUGAGUAACACGUGGAUAACCUACCUAUAAGACUGGGAUAACUUCGGGAAACCGGAGCUAAUACCGGAUAAUAUUUUGAACCGCAUGGUUCAAAAGUGAAAGACGGUCUUGCUGUCACUUAUAGAUGGAUCCGCGCUGCAUGAGCUAGUUGGUAAGGUCACGGCUUACCAAGGCAACGAUGCAUAGCCGACCUGAGAGAGUGAUAGGCCACACUGGAGCUGAGACACGGUCCAGACUACUGAGGGAGGCAGCAGAAGGGAAUCUUCCGCAAUGGGCGAAAGCCUGACGGAGCAACGCCGCGUGAGUGAUGAAGGUCUUCGGAGCGUAAAACUCUGUUAUUAGGGAAGAACAUAUGUGUAAGUAACUGUGCACAUCGUGACGGUACCUAAUCAGAAAGCCACGGCUAACUACGUG